rnacentral:lncRNA from 10 species
GGAUCGCGCUGAUGUGGCCCCAACCCCGCCUCCCUCCCCGCCCCGCGAUGUCGGAAGAAACCCGACAGAGCAAAUUGGCCGCAGCGAAGAAAAAGUUGAGAGAAUAUCAGCAGAGGAAUAGCCCUGGUGUUCCUACAGGAGCGAAAAAGAAGAAGAAAAUAAAAAAUGGCAGUAACCCUGAGACAACCACUUCUGGUGGUUGCCACUCACCUGAGGAUGUGAGUCUUGGAUGGCCAGGCUCCUGGGGACAGGGGGCCCAAGGGGCAGUAGAGGGUAAUUGUUAUGAUUGUGGAAGAACUGUUGGGUACUGAUUAAGAGUUCUGGGUUUGUAUCCUACCUGUCCAUCUGCUAGGGAUGUGAUUUAGGGCAAAUUGCUUGAGCUUUUUGGGCCUCUCUUUUCACAACUAUAAAGUAUUGUUUUACUUACA